AACUCAUUCCCGUAUGAUCACCGAAGUUAAGCAAAGUCGUGCCUGGUCAGUACCUAGAUGGGUGAAUGCUUGGGAAUACCAGUUGCGGUA